ACGCUCGACACCUACGGGAAGGCAGCAGUUAGGAAUAUUGGGCAAUGGAGGAAACUCUGACCCAGCAACGCCGCGUGAAGGAAGAAGGUUUUCGGAUUGUAAACUUCUGAUCUAGGGGAAGAAGGAAGUGACGGUACCCUAGGAGAAAGCCACGGCUAACUACGUGCUAGCAGCCGCGGUAAUCUGAGCGGGCUGGCAAGGC
rnacentral:rRNA from 1 species